rnacentral:sRNA from 1 species
AAAGCAGGUAAAAUUUCUAUCCCAUGGCUGCCAUUUAAAUCUCUAGAAAAGUGAUCUGGAAAAGCAUAGUAAUUGAUACCUUUGCUAGCUGUUUUAAGUUUUCAGUGUUAUAAACAUGAAUGGAUAUUGACUUAUUUUUAGGAAACGUAAAUAUUUUCACCAUGAUCGAUUAGACUGGGAUGAACACAGUUCUGCCGGCAGAUAUGUUUCAAGACGCUGUAAACCUCUGAAGGAAUUUAUGCUUUCUCAAGAUGUUGAACAUGAGCGUCUCUUUGACCUCAUUCAGAAAAUGUUGGAGUAUGAUCCAGCCAAAAGAAUUACUCUCAGAGAAGCCUUAAAGCAUCCUUUCUUUGACCUUCUGAAGAAAAGUAUAUAGAUCUGUAAUUGGACAGCUCUCUCGAAGAGAUCUUACAGACUGUAUCAGUCUAAUUUUUA